rnacentral:rRNA from 1 species
ACUCCUACGGGAGGCAGCAGUGGGGAAUAUUGGGCAAUGGGCGCAAGCCUGACCCAGCAACGCCGCGUGAGGGAAGAAGGUUUUCGGAUUGUAAACCUCUGUCGCAAGGGACGAAGAAGUGACGGUACCUUGUGAGGAAGCCCCGGCUAACUACGUGCCAGCAGCCGCGGUAAU